GUACUGAUGAAGAGUAUCAAACUAGGACGAAACAGCUGUCCAGUAC
rnacentral:hammerhead_ribozyme from 1 species